ACGGGUGAGUAAUGUCUGGGAAACUGCCUGAUGGAGGGGGAUAACUACUGGAAACGGUAGCUAAUACCGCAUAACGUCGCAAGACCAAAGAGGGGGACCUUCGGGCCUCUUGCCAUCAGAUGUGCCCAGAUGGGAUUAGCUAGUAGGUGGGGUAACGGCUCACCUAGGCGACGAUCCCUAGCUGGUCUGAGAGGAUGACCAGCCACACUGGAACUGAGACACGGUCCAGACUCCUACGGGAGGCAGCAGUGGGGAAUAUUGCACAAUGGGCGCAAGCCUGAUGCAGCCAUGCCGCGUGUAUGAAGAAGGCCUUCGGGUUGUAAAGUACUUUCAGCGGGGAGGAAGGCGAUGCGGUUAAUAACCGCGUCGAUUGACGUUACCCGCAGAAGAAGCACCGGCUAACUCCGUGCCAGCAGCCGCGGUAAUACGGAGGGUGCAAGCGUUAAUCGGAAUUACUGGGCGUAAAGCGCACGCAGGCGGUCUGUCAAGUCGGAUGUGAAAUCCCCGGGCUCAACCUGGGAACUGCAUCCGAAACUGGCAGGCUUGAGUCUCGUAGAGGGGGGUAGAAUUCCAGGUGUAGC
rnacentral:rRNA from 1 species